ACUGGCCCCGUCACCUCGAGGGCGCCCGUGCCGCUUGCCGCGGCAUGCUGGGCGUACGGCCUCGAGUCGCUGCGGCGCUGGUGCACGUGCGCACGUCGGUGUGCCGUCUGCGCUG
rnacentral:snRNA from 1 species